ensembl:lncRNA
CACACACACACACACACACACACAUCACACACACACAAGACAGGAGGACAUGGACUGCACAGCGGCUGUGCAGAGCAUGGAGUGAGCGGUUGCUGUGGAAAGCUGGAAAGAGACUGGGGGCCCAGUCUGAGGACCUGAGGGAGGUCAGGGAGGCGGGGCUACACUGCAGGGGAUCUCUUUCCUGGGAACCACAGGGGGAACACUAGAGAUCCACGGAGCUCAGAUGCGCCUGAAGGAGCAGAGCAGGCAUCGUGGGGAAAAGACAGAGUGAUGUCGUCCCCAGCAGAGUGCUAUCCGAGGGAGAGGGGUAUUCAUGAGAGAAAUCAAUGUAACAGGGGUGCAGGAGUAUUUCUGCACGGUUGCAUAACAUAGCAUAACAUAGGAGCCCCCCCACAUAGAUCCUGGGGUUGAGGAGGG